AGUCGAGAGCUUUCGGAGCUCGGCAUACUGCUCAGUAACACGUGGGUAACCUGCCCUGUGCUGGGGGAUAACCUCGGGAAACUGAGAACAAUACCCCAUAGUCCACUACGCCUGGAACGGUGAGUGGAUGAAAGCCCCGGCGGCACAGGAUGGGCCUGCGGCGUAUCAGGUAGUAGGGGGUGUAAAGUACCCUCUAGCCUUCGACGCGUACGGGUUGUGAGAGCAAUAGCCCGGAGAUGGAUUCUGAGACACGAAUCCAGACCCUACGGGGUGCAGCAGGCGCGAAAACUUGGCAAUGCGAGAAAUCGUGACCAGGGAACUCCAAGUGGCUGGGGUAAGACCCAGUCUUUUCUUGACUCUUCAACGGUCUUGGAAUAAGGGGUGGGUAAGGACGGUGCCAGCCGCCGCGGUAAUACCGGCGCCUCAAGUGGUAGUCGAUUUUAUUGGGCCUAAAACGUCCGUAGCCUGUUUGGUACAUUCGUGGGUAAAUCAACCAGCUCAACUGGUUGAAUUCUGCGAGCACGGCCAGACUUGGGACCGGGAGAGGUGUGGGGUACGCUCAGGGUAGGGGUAAAAUCCUGUCAUCCUGAGCGGACCACCUGUUGCGAAGGCGCCACACUAGAACGGAUCCGACGGUCAGGGACGAAGCCUAGGGGCACGAACCGGAUUAGAUACCCGGGUAGUCCUAGGUGU
rnacentral:rRNA from 1 species